AAUGAACGCUGGCGGCGUGCCUAACACAUGCAAGUCGAACGAGAAAGUACCUUCGGGUGCGAGUACAGUGGCGCACGGGUGAGUAACACGUAGGUAACCUGCCCUGCAGAGGGGGAUAACUCGAAGAAAUUCGAGCUAAUACCGCAUGAGCAAGAAAUUGAAAAGGGUGCUUUUAGCAUCCGCUGUAGGAUGGGCCUGCGCUACAUUAGCUUGAUGGUGGGGUAAAAGCCUACCAUGGCUACGAUGUAUAGCUGGUCUGAGAGGAUGAUCAGCCACACUGGAACUGAGAUACGGUCCAGACUCCUACGGGAGGCAGCAGUGGGGAAUAUUGCGCAAUGGAGGAAACUCU
rnacentral:rRNA from 1 species